GAUGAACGCUGGCGGCGUGCCUAAUACGUGCAAGUCGAACGAAGUUCUAGCUUGCUAGAUCUUAGUGGCGAACGGGUGAGUAAUACAUAAAUAAUCUGCCCAUACGACUGGGAUAACUAUUGGAAACGAUAGCUAAUACCGGAUAGGUUGAUCGGAGGCAUCUCUGAUGAAUUAAAGUAGGAUUUCUACACAAAUGGAUGAGUUUAUGGCGCAUUAGUUAGUUGGUGGGGUAACGGCCUACCAAGACGAUGAUGCGUAGCCGACCUGAGAGGGUGACCGGCCACACUGGGACUGAGACACGGCCCAGACUCCUGAGGGAGGCAGCAGUAGGGAAUUUUCGGCAAUGGGCGCAAGCCUGACCGAGCAACGCCGCGUGAGUGAUUAAGGCCUUCGGGUUGUAAAGCUCUGUUGUAAGGGAAGAACAUUCAGGAUAGGAAAUGAUCUUGAACUGACGGUACCUUACCAGAAAGCCACGGCUAACUACGUGCCAGCCGCCGCAGUAA
rnacentral:rRNA from 1 species